AAUGGUUGUAACUUUUGUAACACAGGCCAUAUUGAAUGAACUAGAGUGGACCGCACGCGAUGUGCUCAUAACUAGUCGACUUGCAAAAUAUGAAAUUAUUAAAUACCGAUGUAUGGAGCCCUAAUUGAAAGAGAAAAUCUAACAAAUGGCAUUAACAAACAUUAAUUCUAAAAAAUACCAUUGACGAAUGUGAGUUCUACAAAAUACCAUCAUACAAAUAAAUUUGUCUAAGAAAUGCCAUCGUCGUUAAAGUUCCGUCAACUUUUUUCGUUAAGUGCUAUA
rnacentral:lncRNA from 1 species